GUUUCCACGUAACUGAAAUGUCCCGGAAUCACGGACAUGACUGGUUCUAGAAGACAGAACUUUUCCGCUAUCCUCUCCACCAGACUUCCCUUUAUAUUUCCGAUGUAACAGAAACGGUCGGUUGUACCGAGCUCCAGUCUGGUAGUCUUGUACUUCUGUUGAGAAAGAGUCUGGACACCAUUCGUGCGGGGAGAUGGUGGGGCCCCCGGAGGGUGGAGCUAGAGUCUGGACACCAUUCGUGCGGGGAGAUGGUGGGGCCCCCGGAGGGUGGAGCUAGAGUCUGGACACCAUUCGUGCGGGGAGAUGGUGGGGCCCCCGGAGGGUGGAGCUAGAGUCUGGACACCAUUCGUGCGGGGAGAUGGUGGGGCACCCGGAGGGUGGAGCUAGACAAGUGGAUCUAACGAUGAUAAUUUACAUUUGAAACUGCAUAAACAUACUUAAAAUAAAAAUUACAUAUAUUU